AUUUCAUUUGGGCGGUAAUGCUUCGAAACGGCAGAUGGGCAGAGAGGGGGCCAUAGGAGGAGGCGCUCGAGCGGAGGGGGAGACGAGGCGAUUUCCGUCAGGUUCAUGGUGUUUGCGAGAUCCCUCUAUCCUCGAGCUUGGGUUUUCUCUUUGAUUCACUGCUCCCCAGUUUUCAGCUUCAUUAUCUAUGGGGAGGCUACGGAAAGUCUCUCACAAGGAUGUUCCGGAAGCAUCUUCUAUUGAGAGUGUGGAUCCUUUGCAAGACCCCUUCGUGCCUAAUGACUUUGCGGAAGAUGGUUCUAAUUGCUGUAGGGCUUACACUGUAAUAUGAUUGAGCACUGUAAUUGUUUUAGGGCUUAUACUGUAAUUUACCAGAGUCUUACUCUGUAAUUGUUGUAGGGCUUAUAGUAUUUGUUAGAUACAUUACAAUGGAUUUUACCUCUGAAUUGUGGGGCUUACACUGUAAUAUACUGCAGAUUUACACUGUAAUUUGAAUACUUCAGCACUGUAAUUGUUUUA